UACGUAGGGGGCAAGCGUUGUCCGGAAUUAUUGGGCGUAAAGAGCGCGUAGGCGGUCCGGUAAGUCAGCUGUGAAAGUCAAGGGCUCAACCCUUGAAAGCCGGUUGAUACUGUCGGGCUAGAGUCCGGAAGAGGCGAGUGGAAUUCCCGGUGUAGCGGUGAAAUGCGCAGAUAUCGGGAGGAACACCGGUGGCGAAGGCGGUUCUCUGGGCAUUACCUGACGCUGAGGAGCGAAAGUGUGGGGAGCGAACAGG
rnacentral:rRNA from 1 species